GCCAGCCCGCUCAGAAACUCAAAGGAAUUGACGGGGCCCGCACAAGCGGUGGAGUAUGUGGUUAAUUCGAUGCAACGCGAAGAACCUUACCUGGUCUUGACAUCCCGGAGACCCUUAGGAAACUAGGGGGUGCUUCCAUCUGGAAGAAUCUGGAGACAGGUGCUGCAUGGCUGUCGUCAGCUCGUGUCGUGAGAUGUUGGGUUAAGUCCCGCAACGAGCGCAACCCUUGCCUUUAGUUGCCAGCAGUUCGGCUGGGCACUCUAAAGGGACUGCCGGUGUUAAACCGGAGGAAGGUGGGGAUGACGUCAAGUCCUCAUGGCCUUUAUGACCAGGGCUACACACGUACUACAAUGGCCGAUACAAAGGGCAGCGACACUGCGAGGUGAAGCCAAUCCCGUAAAAUCGGUCUCAGUCCGGAUUGGAGUCUGCAACUCGACUCCAUGAAGUUGGAAUCGCUAGUAAUCGUGGAUCAGCCAUGCCAACGGUGAAUACGUUCCGGGCCUU
rnacentral:rRNA from 1 species